rnacentral:lncRNA from 1 species
AUGUUGGAUGAGUACGUCCUUCAUCCUCGCUUGCCACAAGGAGAAAUUGCUUUUUCGAUCGAACCAAUUGAUCUCCAUCUUGAUUGUGCUUGUCUUUUCCAUCUUCUAUCUCGAUCAACACCAUCUUUGUCUGGACCGUCUGAUAUCACUUGUCCAUGGUAAUCAGGCUCAGAUACCACUUUUUGGGAUAGGUUCCUUAAUUGCUGAACACGGAUCACCCGUCUG